GACGAACGCUGGCGGCGUGCUUAACACAUGCAAGUCGAACGGAAAGGCCCUGCUUUUGUGGGGUGCUCGAGUGGCGAACGGGUGAGUAACACGUGAGUAACCUGCCCUUGACUUUGGGAUAACUUCAGGAAACUGGGGCUAAUACCGGAUAGGAGCUCCUGCUGCAUGGUGGGGGUUGGAAAGUUUCGGCGGUUGGGGAUGGACUCGCGGCUUAUCAGCUUGUUGGUGGGGUAGUGGCUUACCAAGGCUUUGACGGGUAGCCGGCCUGAGAGGGUGACCGGCCAAAUUGGGAAUGAGAAACGGCCCAGACUCCUAGGGGAGGCAGCAGUGGGGAAUAUUGCAAAAUGGGCGGAAGCCUGAUGCAGAAACGCCGGGUGGGGGAUGACGGCCUUCGGGUUGAAAACCGCUUUCGCCUGUGACGAAGCGUGGGUGACGGUAAUGGGUCAAGAAGCACCGGCUAACUACGU
rnacentral:rRNA from 1 species